UACGUAGGAGGCAAGCGUUGUCCGGAAUUACUGGGCGUAAAGCGCGUGUAGGCGGAUGCCUAAGUCUGUGGUGAAAGCGCCUGGCUUAACCGGGCGAGGUCCAUGGAAACUAGGCGUCUGGAGGCCGGUAGAGGGGGGUGGAAUUCCGGGUGUAGUGGUGAAAUGCGUAGAGAUCCGGAGGAACACCGGUGGCGAAGGCGGCCCCCUGGGCCGCGCCUGACGCUGAGACGCGAAAGCGCGGGGAGCGAACGGG
rnacentral:rRNA from 1 species